GAUGAACGCUGGCGGCAUGCCUAAUACAUGCAAGUCGAACGAGAGGAAGGAAAGCUUGCUUUUCUGAAUCUAGUGGCGAACGGGUGAGUAACACGUAGGUAACCUGCCCAUGUGCCCGGGAUAACUUCUGGAAACGGAUGCUAAAACCGGAUAGGUAGCAGACAAGCAUUUGACUGCUAUUAAAGUGGCUAAGGCCAUGAACAUGGAUGGACCUGCGGUGCAUUAGCUAGUUGGUGAGGUAACGGCCCACCAAGGCGACGAUGCAUAGCCGGCCGGAGAGGGCGGACGGCCACAUUGGGACUGAGACACGGCCCAAACUCCUACGGGAGGCAGCAGUAGGGAAUUUUCGUCAAUGGGGGGAACCCUGAACGAGCAAUGCCGCGUGAGUGAGGAAGGUCUUCGGAUCGUAAAGCUCUGUUGUAAGAGAAAAACGACAUUCAUAGGGAAUGAUGAGUGAGUGAUGGUAUCUUACCAGAAAGUCACGGCUAACUACGUGCCAGCCGCCGCUGUAAUAC
rnacentral:rRNA from 1 species